rnacentral:rRNA from 1 species
GACGAACGCUGGCGGCGUGCUUAACACAUGCAAGUCGAGCGGUAAGGCCCUUUCGGGGGUACACGAGCGGCGAACGGGUGAGUAACACGUGGGUGACCUGCCCUCAGCUCUGGGAUAAGCCUGGGAAACUGGGUCUAAUACUGGAUAUGACUCCACGGUGCAUGUCGUGGGGUGGAAAGCCUUGUGCGGCUGAGGAUGGGCCCGCGGCCUAUCAGCCUGUUGGUGGGGUGANGGCCUACCAAGGCGACGACGGGUAGCCGGCCUGAGAGGGCGACCGGCCACACUGGGACUGAGACACGGCCCAGACUCCUACGGGAGGCAGCAGUGGGGAAUCUUGCGCAAUGGGCGAAAGCCUGACGCAGCCAUGCCGCGUGAGUGAAGAAGGCCUUAGGGUUGUAAA